AAGGAGCACAAAGUACCGUUGUCACACGAACAGGAACUUUGGUUUGACUUGUACUUCAAUGAGGUGCGGCCAGUAAUGCUGCAAGAAAACCGCACCGGCGACGAUGUGGCAGUUGAUUCAUUUUUUGUGUCAAGUAGUGGGAGAUCGAUUUAUAAUCCCUCCAAUGACUUAAAAAGACUACAUGACAAAUACAGUCUCCCCAGUGUGACCUUUGGCGAUGCCCAGAGAGCGUUUGAGGCAGCAGCACAAAACCUGAAGUCAGAAGUGGAGAGAAAU